rnacentral:rRNA from 1 species
AGGAUGAACGCUGGCGGCGUGCCUAACACAUGCAAGUCGAACGUCCUGUCUCGCAAGAGGCAGGGAGUGGCGGACGGGUGAGUACCACGUGGGUCAUCUACCGUGAGGUGAGGAAUACCGGCGAGAAAUCGCCGACAAGACCGCAUAGGCUCGAUGCAAGUCGAGCAAAGCUCUUUCGAGAGAGGGAGCGCCACACGAGGAGCCUGCGCCCGAUUAGCUAGCUGGUGGAGUAACGGUUCACCAGGGCGACGAUCGGUAGCUGGUCUGAGAGGACGAUCAGCCACACUGGGAUUGAGAACGGCCCAGACUCCUACGGGGGGCAGCAGUGAGGAAUUUCGUCAAUGGGGGCAACCCUGAACGAGCAACGCCGCGUGCAGGAAGAAGGUUUCGGAUCGUAAACUGCUUUUCGUCGGGGAAGAGGAACGGACGGUACCCGAGGAAUCGAGCCCCGGCUAACCUACGCGCCAGCAGCCGCGGU